rnacentral:rRNA from 1 species
GUUGGUUCUGCCUUAAGGCGGUGUCCUAACCAGCAAUGGAGGGAGCCGACUACGGCAGGGUCGAUGACUGGGGUGAAGUCGUAACAAGGUAGCAGUAGGUGAACCUGCAGAAGGAUCA